rnacentral:misc_RNA from 1 species
UACGGAGGGUGCAAGCGUUGUCCGGAAUCACUGGGUGUAAAGGGUGUGCAGGCGGAAGUCUAAGUCGGAGGUGAAAGCUUGCCGCUUAACGGUAAAAUGGCCUUCGAUACUGGAUUGCUGGAGUUCGGAAGAGGUUGGUGGAAUUCGUGGUGUAGCGGUGAAAUGCAUAGAUAUCACGAAGAACAUCAGUGGCGAAGGCGGCCGACUGGGCUGGGAUUGACGCUGAGGCACGAGAGCGUGGGGAGCAAACAGG